rnacentral:rRNA from 1 species
CCUACGGGAGGCAGCAGUAGGGAAUCUUUCACAAUGGGCGAAAGCCUGAUGGAGCAACGCCGCGUGCAGGAUGAAGGCCUUCGGGUUGUAAACUGCUUUUAUAAGCGAGAAAUAUGAUGGUAACUUAUGAAUAAGGAUCGGCUAACUACGUGCCAGCAGCCGCGGUCAUACGUAGGAUCCGAGACGUAUCCGGGUUGACUGGGGGUAAAGAGUUGCGUAGGUGGCAUAAUAAGUAGCUAGUGAAAUCUGGUGGCUCAACCAUUCAGACUAUUAGCUAAACUGUUAAGCUCGAGGCCGUUAGGGGUAACUGGAAUUGCUAGUGUAGGAGUGAAAUCCGUAGAUAUUAGAAGGAACACCAAUAGCGUAGGCAGGUUGCUGGGACGGUUCUGACACUAAGGCACGAAAGCGUAGGGAGCAAACGGGAUUAGAUACCCUAGUAGUC